CAUCAAUCUCUAGAAGAACCAAACCUCAGCACCAACCUGUUCAUCAUGAUGAUCAGAAUCCUCUGCCUGAGCGUCCUUGUGCUGCUUUUCUGCACAGACAUUGAAGCUAAAAAAGAAAAGACCGAAAAGUUCAAAAAGUUCAAGUGUUUCACUUGUACAGAGAAAUACUGCAAAAAACAACAGUAUUGUAGUGAAGGACAGGUCUGCAUGAGCGCCUCUGUUAUCGAAGUCACACAUGGACAUCAGAAUAAAUCCUACUACAGGUCCUGUACGUCACCUUCAUACUGUCCAAAGAGUGAAAAAACAGAGACCAUGUCCAUCGGCUUGGGUUAUCAGGUGUUUGUGGCGACCGUUAAGUGCUGCAAGUCCCAUCUCUGCAACAAAAAACCUCAACCCCGUAAGACCUUUGAAACACAAUCAAACUAAUGCUGCUCCAUACUCUGUGGGUAGUUUACACUGGUGUGUUAUGCUGUUCUUUUCAGACCCUAAGAUACCAUCAGGAAAUGGGUUGACGUGCCUUUUCUGCAGCAACACUAUAAACCCAAAGGAAUGCAAAGUCAAGGAAUGCAUUGGAAAUCAAACUCACUGCGUGCGAGCAAUCAGAAAUGGAACUCAUCAGAGUGGGUGUGCAACUAAAAACUUCUGUCACCCCAACAAGCCUGUUAAAGGCUUCGCUGGUGCCCUCAGUUUUCCAGCUGUGUGUGAGAAAGCAAAACCUGCACCUGAACCAACAACUGCUGAACCAACAAUUGCUGAACCAACAACUGCUGAACCAACAACUGCUGAACCAAAGUGUGUUCCAGUUGAAACCACUCCUGAACCAACCCUUCCACCCUGUGAUAGAAAGGGAUAACUACUCCCACCACGUAAAACCAGUUUCUUUGUCUUGCUGACAAAACCAUUAAAAGGUUGAUUAAAGUCUGGGUGAAUCUUUAGUGGAUCCUACAUCAAACAUAGAGAUCUUAACAAACUUAUCAGACCACCACCCACUGUGAGCUUAAAUCACAGCAUUGGUAAAUAUCUUUGUUUCUGUCAUUUGGCUAAUCUCCUAAACAAAAAAAAUAGUCGGUGGUUGAAUACAUUUGUUAACCAACUCAUGUGAUGUUUUGCUUUUAGUGAUGUUAUUAGAUGAUGAAUUAAUGAAGAUCAAAGCUUCUUUCAAAGGAGCUUUGAUGACUUCUAACUUCUAAAUGUGACUCUUUUAGUAAAGGUAGCAGGGCUGAGUUUCUAAUGCUUUCUUAAAAUGCUUUCUGCAUGGGAACAAUCAUUAAAGAGGUG
rnacentral:lncRNA from 1 species